AACAGGCCAUUCCAUGCUCUCUCUCUCUCUAACAGGCCAUUCCAAACUUUCUCUCUCUCUAACAGGCCAUUCCAUGCUCUCUCUCUCUAACAGGCCAUCCCAUGCUCUCUCUCUCUCUAACAGGCCAUUCCAUGCUCUCUCUCUAACAGGCCAUUCCAUGCUCUCUCUCUCUCUAACAGGCCAUUCCAUGCUCUCUCUCUCUAACAGGCCAUUCCAUGCUCUCUCUCUCUAACAGGCCAUCCCAUGCUCUCUCUCUCUCUAACAGGCCAUCCCAUGCUCUCUCUCUCUCUAACAGGCCAUUCCAUGCUCUCUCUC